CCCGCAUCAGCGAAGUCCACAGCCUGCUCCAAUCAAGUUGCCUUCCAAAUGCUGUAAAGUGGAGGCGCCCGAGCACCAGGACCCAGGGGAUGGAUUGGUUACACGCCAGAUCCCCCGAGGCAGCAACCAGCCUGCAUAUGUGUUUACAUAACUGUUUGCAAGUAAAAAGAGGAGGCUGGGAACCAGGCAGCUGGGAAGGAAGUCUGGCCGGGACAGCGCUGCCCCUUCUUGGAGUCAUCUUGAAAUAAAAGAGAUGCCUGCAGUGGUCAUUUGGGCAGAUCACACCAAUGUAUUUGGAGGUUUGGGCACAUGAUAUGAAUCCAGGUGCCCCAAGCAGGAUGUGGGCCGUCACUGGCAGGAAGUAGGGUUCCCCCCUGCUAACCCCUUAGGAUGGGGCCGGGAGGUCAAGGCCACUGCAGGACCACAGGCAAGAAGCAGCCUUGGAAGGGCCUGCUGUCCACAGAGCCCAACUGCUGCGUUAGGGCGGCCAGCGCUGCCUGGCCGCUCCCCGCUCACUGAGAAGCACAUCGGAAACCUGGCCUGAAGUCUCUCUUUCUUGUCCCAAGUUGAAAGGAGAGACGGCAACCUUCGGGGCCUGAGAGGCCCAGGGGACUCUGCACUGCCUGCCUUCUCCAUGUGGUGUGGAGUCGCAAUAGGGCAAGUCCUGGCUUGGGGUCCCCUAGAUGGUCACACCCUCGGGGCCCCUUUGUCUGACGCCAUCCCACCAGCUGUGAAGAAACUCUGAUUUGCUAAAGUAUCUGGAGGAGGAAACAGAAACACAUAGCAAGUGGCGGCGGACCCUCCAGGCAUCACUUGGGGACUGCGAAGGAACAGCUUCCCUCCUCUCGCACAUAAGAGUGCAUGACCUCUUACUUUCCAGCUUCUCAUAUUUGUGUCCAUGCCAAGGAAGCUCAUUUUCCCAUGGUUCAUCAUACUCCUAGUGGUUUCCUAGACUUUCAGAGAAGGAUUUCGGGAAAAGGUGGUCUUUUACAGACAAGCAGUUAGGUGGGUGGGACACAGGGGCAAAGGCAUCACGAGCAAAAGGGUAGCCAGUGCCCCACCAGGAGAUUCAGGGGCCCGAGGGAUGCCCUGAGGUCCAUCCACAAGCAAGGAGCCAUGAGGCUGGGCAGGGGCACAGACUGGAGCUCAGAGGAGUGUCAGCUGAGGAGCUGGGAAGCUUUUCUCAAAGCAAGCAAAAAGCAACUAAGAACUUUCCCCCACAACAGACAUGAAGUUAGACUUGCCCUUUAGAAAGCUCACUGUGGCCACAGGGUGAGAAAUGGAUUGGAGAGGGGUGAGACAGUGCAGGCGAGCAAACCAGUAGGAUUGGCCAGAGGCCUGACCCCAGGCAGAGCUUAUGAAAGCACAUGUAGUGUGCAGUGAAGGACCCAUUUUGUUUCCAGUACUUCUUGGGCAGAUACUUUUGUAAAACAUGUUAUCAGGAAAAAAUGAAAAUUUAAAGAACAUGCAAAAUAUAAGCCCUAACUUUUUAUCAAAGU
rnacentral:lncRNA from 1 species